GAAAUUCGGAUUAAUACCCCAUAAUAUUUAAACACGGCAUCGUGUUUUCAUUAAAGUUCCGACGGUUAAGGAUGGGCAUGCGUGACAUUAGUUAGUUGGUGAGGUAACGGCUCACCAAGACAACGAUGUCUAGGGGGUCUGAGAGGAUGAUCCCCCACACUGGUACUGAGACACGGACCAGACUCCUACGGGAGGCAGCAGUGAGGAAUAUUGGGCAAUGGACGCAAGUCUGACCCAGCCAUGCCGCGUGCAGGAUGACGGCCCUAUGGGUUGUAAACUGCUUUUAUACAGGAAGAAACCCUCUGACGUGUCAGAGGUUGACGGUACUGUAAGAAUAAGCAUCGGCUAACUCCGUGCCAGCAGCCGCGGUAAUACGGAGGAUGCAAGCGUUAUCCGGAUUCAUUGGGUUUAAAGGGUGCGCAGGCGGGGCAAUUAGUCAGUGGUGAAAUCCUGCGGCUUAACCGUAGAACUGCCAUUGAUACUGUUGCCCUUGAGUAUAGUUGAGGUGGGCGGAAUGUGUAAUGCAGCGGUGAAAUGCAUAGAUAUUACAUAGAACACCAAUUGCGAAGGCAGCUCACUAAGCU
rnacentral:rRNA from 1 species